AUGGCUAGAGCAUGGAGGGAUAAUUAUUACGGCAUAUCUCAAUUAUCAAGGUAUGUUUUUGUGGCGCACUUCCGCUCUUUGGAAGCUGUUAUGUUUGUGAUUACUCGUCAGCCUUGGAGCAUGGGUUCAGAUAACUUUCUGAUUGAAUGGAUGGAUCCAGAGGAGCAAGAUAAUAAUAUUCGGGACUACAAGUUUGAUUCAAUUUAUGUCACUGUUUGGAUUUAUGGUAUCCCCAUCAGGUUUAGAACCCAAGCACUGUUAGCAAGCAUCCUGCAAAAAGUGGGGCAGAUUUCAGAGUUUCAUCCGAUUAACAAGAGUAUGAUUUCGGCUAGGCAGGAAUACAUUUGGGGUACUAUUAAAGCUCAGAUCAGUAGACCUGUGAAAGAUAAAGUUUGGGUUACUUAUGGAGAAGACUCUGCUGGUUGGGCCUAUUUGUUCUACGAGAAGAUUGGCAGAAUCUGUACUUUUUGUGGAAUUAUGUUUCAUAGUGUCCAGCAUUGCAAAGCUAGAAAUAGUGUCCUUAUUUCAAGGAGUAGGCUUCAAGUCUCUUUGGAGGGUAUCUCCCCAAAUAAAUUUGGCCAAUGGAUGACUGCUGCAGAUUUGAUUCCUUCUCUUUCAGAACAACAUAAUCUGUGUGAAGCAAAUUCAUUCUCAUCUUUUGUAAAUCCUCAGUUAGCCAGAUUGCAGAAGCAGUUCAUAGAACACCCUAAGGGCAAGGAGAUAGCUGUGCAUAGCGCGGCUACGGAGGAAGCUAAUCAAAAAUAA
rnacentral:rRNA from 1 species